GCGGGAAGCGAGCGGAUCCCUUCGGGGUGAAGCUCGUGGAACGAGCGGCGGACGGGUGAGUAACACGUGGGCAACCUGCCUGUAAGACCGGAAUAACCCCGGGAAACCGGGGCUAAUGCCGGGUAAUACUUUUCUUCGCAUGAAGGAAAGUUGAAAGAUGGCUUCUCGCUAUCACUUACAGAUGGGCCCGCGGCGCAUUAGCUAGUUGGUGAGGUAACGGCUCACCAAGGCGACGAUGCGUAGCCGACCUGAGAGGGUGAUCGGCCACACUGGGACUGAGACACGGCCCAGACUCCUACGGGAGGCAGCAGUAGGGAAUCUUCCGCAAUGGACGAAAGUCUGACGGAGCAACGCCGCGUGAACGAUGAAGGUCUUCGGAUCGUAAAGUUCUGUUGUUAGGGAAGAACAAGUACCGUGCGAAUAGAGCGGUACCUUGACGGUACCUAACGAGGAAGCCCCGGCUAACUACGUGCCAGCAGCCGCGGUAAUACGUAGGGGGCAAGCGUUGUCCGGAAUUAUUGGGCGUAAAGCGCGCGCAGGCGGUUCCUUAAGUCUGAUGUGAAAGCCCACGGCUCAACCGUGGAGGGUCAUUGGAAACUGGGGAACUUGAGGACAGAAGAGGAGAGUGGAAUUCCACGUGUAGCGGUGAAAUGCGUAGAUAUGUGGAGGAACACCAGUGGCGAAGGCGACU
rnacentral:rRNA from 1 species